rnacentral:lncRNA from 1 species
AGUAGUUUGGAAGAUAUGGUUUAAUGCAGAUUCCGCCGAACAUAUACAGGCUAUAUGAAAAAUAAUUACUGUUAAAUGUGUCCCCUGUUCUGUAGUUUAAAACUACUGAACGAUGUCUUUGUGCACCAAAUACCGGCCAGAUGGCACCGUGUAGAAAAGUCAAAACAGUGUCUGUGAGUUAAAAUGGCUGCCAUCCAUUGUUCUCACCAUGUGCUUCAUCCAUUGUUCUCACCAUGUGCCUCUGAUACAUGAAAUGGUGGCCACCCAGUAACUCCCCAGUAUGUCGCCAGAUGGUUCUUAAAGGGCCAGCAUCAGCAUAAUAAAAUACAGUAUGCCCAAAUCAGUUCCUUAAAGGGAAAUACAUCCCAGGGCCAUAGUUGCAGGGCAGGAGGCUUGCAAGCAGGCCUCUCCAGGACCAAGUGGCGAAGGGCACUUCGUCACAACAACACUCAGCAAUAUACAAAGACAUACCAAAUUAAAAGGACCCAUAUAUUUGUGUGACAGGUGACCGUUGGGGACAUCACUGUAGUACCUGGAAACCGGUGGGUUGGAAUACGGGCCGACCAUGGGGCUACAGACCACAAAGUGCCUUAGAUAGAGUUGACAGAUAUGGGAAACCCUUGUUAUACAGAAUGACCUUGUGCAAGCCAACGGGGUGUACCCCAAUGAAGCUAACCUUAAACAUAGAACAUCCCAGCCCAGGAGACGCUGGGGAAUACAUAAUGGUAAUGUAAUGGAAAGGAGGUGGCUCAUAUAACAAGUUGGGGACCUUCUAUUUACAAGACAUGCUUACAUCACCUGACUGGGUAGACUCCACACACAUGACCAUUAACCCUCUAAAACCACACAUUAAAACCCUUAAAGACAUGGUAGCCAUUGCCAAUCCCACAUUUGAAGACACUAUGGCUGUGGAGCCCGGAUUUUCAGAUACUAAUCUAUGGCUUGAAUGGAUGAGGUAUAAUGCUAAUUCACACAACAAAACUAACUGUUAUGCUUGUGGUGGGGCCAGGCCCUAUCUGGGUACAGUGCUUUUAAAUCUAACCCCCGAUGUUGAGAUGUGUUUCUUAAGCCUCUAUGCGCAGACAGCAGUAAACUCAUCAGUGUGUGAGUCAUGGAAAAAGGUUUACCCAAUAACCCAAGGGAAUACCAAGCCACCUGAUGGAAUCACCGUGUACCCAGGUAACUACACUUGCUAUACAAUACAUGGAGCCACAGGUAAAUUUGUAGGUAAAUUCCCUUCUGGCUACUGUACCACUUAUCGAGAACCUCCCACUGCCCUAUUAGUAAAUCAAGUUAAGUCCGUGGGAGACAUUUAUUGGCUAUGUGGUGACAUGCAGCUUAGAUCAAAAAUGACUGGCCAAUGGUGGGGAGAAUGUGCUCUGACCAAAGUUAUCAUGCCCAUACAUAUAAUUUCUGAUAACCACCAAGGCCCACACGAUUCACCACAUACGUAUCUUAGAGUAAAAAGAGAAACCCCCCAUUCAAGGUAGUUUCGACCCACACAUAUAUAUCGAUACCACUGGAGUACCAAGGGGGGAACCAAAUGAGUUCAAGGCCAGAGAUGAAGUGGCGGCGGGAUUCAAAUCCUUGAUCCCACUCAUCACCGCUAACAAGAAUGUUAACUGGAUCAAUUAUAUCUUCUAUAACCAGCAACGAUUUGUCAUGGCAGAACAAUUACAGACUACCUCCCAAAUGACAUUUCAGAAUCGAAUGGCCUUAGACAUGAUCCUAGCAGAAAAGGGGGGCAUGUGUAAAAUACUCCCCGAUACUAUGACAUGCUGUACCUUCAUCCCAGACAACACAGGCCCAGGGUCAGUUAGUAGUUGUCUCUUUCUUUCUCUCUCUCUCUCUCUUUUGUAAAUAGUCAUUUUAAGGGGGGACUGUUGUGGACAAAAAUAUUAACCCAACCCAUGUUAGUAAAAUGCCUAUUUACUCAACAUAACUAUAAUCAGCAUUAUUCAACUUUCUAUGUGAUUUACCUAAAAUGGCCGCUAGGGAGUUUCCCUGUGACAUUGACUAACACCUUCAUUAACAAAAUGGCGCUGGAAUCUGGGGGAGACCUCCAAGAUACCAGUGACAUCAUACCCGGUAGGCAGAGCACUAAAUGAACCACUUAACACCUAACCAAUUAUUGAUGUAUUAUUCCAUGUUAUCUCUGACAAUGCAUAUGAUGUAAUUUUGCUUUAUAAGGGACAUGCCGUCCCCCCAGAAUAAACAUUCCUCAAGUUUUUCAUUAACCAGAAGCCUGUGUCUGGUGUGAAUUACUUUAGGAGCGUGCACGCACUACUUCUUUAAUUUGGCCGGGGGCAGAUACGCAAG